CCUACGUGUGGCUGCAGUGGGGAAUAUUGGACAAUGGGCGAAAGCCUGAUCCAGCCAUGCCGCGUGUGUGAAGAAGGCCUUCGGGUUGUAAAGCACUUUCAGUGGGGAAGAAAGCCUUGGGGCUAAUACCCUCGAGGAAGGACAUCACCCACAGAAGAAGCACCGGCUAACUCCGUGCCAGCAGCCGCGGUAAUACGGAGGGUGCGAGCGUUAAUCGGAAUUACUGGGCGUAAAGCGCGCGUAGGCGGUCUGAUAAGCCGGUUGUGAAAGCCCCGGGCUCAACCUGGGAACGGCAUCCGGAACUGUCAGGCUAGAGGGCAGGAGAGGAAGGUAGAAUUCCCGGUGUAGCGGUGAAAUGCGUAGAGAUCGGGAGGAAUACCAGUGGCGAAGGCGGCCUUCUGGACUGACACUGACGCUGAGGUGCGAAAGCGUGGGUAGCAAACAGGAUUAGAUACCCUAGUAGUC
rnacentral:rRNA from 1 species